rnacentral:rRNA from 1 species
CACAGGUUUACCUGUGUGACUGCGUACCUUUUGUAUAAUGGGUCAGCGACUUAUAUUCUGUAGCAAGGUUAACCGUAUAGGGGAGCCGUAGGGAAACCGAGUCUUAACCGGGCGUUAAGUUGCAGGGUAUAGACCCGAAACCCGGUGAUCUAGCCAUGGGCAGGUUGAAGGUUGGGUAACACUAACUGGAGGACCGAACCGACUAAUGUUGAAAAAUUAGCGGAUGACCUGUGGCUGGGGGUGAAAGGCCAAUCAAACCGGGAGAUAGCUGGUUCUCCCCGAAAGCUAUUUAGGUAGCGCCUCGUGAAUUCAUCUCCGGGGGUAGAGCACUGUUUCGGCUAGGGGGCCAUCCCGGCUUACCAACCCGAUGCAAACUGCGAAUACCGGAGAAUGUUAUCACGGGAGACACACGGCGGGUGCUAACGUCCGUCGUGAAGAGGGAAACAACCCAGACCGCCAGCUAAGGUCCCAAAGUCAUGGUUAAGUGGGAAACGAUGUGGGAAGGCCCAGACAGCCAGGAUGUUGGCUUAGAAGCAGCCAUCAUUUAAAGAAAGCGUAAUAGCUCACUGGUCGAGUCGGCCUGCGCGGAAGAUGUAACGGGGCUAAACCAU